rnacentral:tRNA from 1 species
UGGUCUAUGGCGCGGCAAUGCUUGCUGGGUAUUGCCUGGUCACUGGCGUUCCAUUCGCCAUGGAAUGG